AGAAUCAACGCUGGCGGCGUGCCUAACACAUGCAAGUCGAACGCGAAAGUCCCGCAAGGGAUGAGUAGAGUGGCAAACGGGUGAGUAACACGUGGGUGACCUGCCUUCGAGCGGGGGAUAACGUCCCGAAAGGGACGCUAAUACCGCAUGACAUCCUGCCUUUGAAGAGGUGGAGAUCAAAGCUGGGGAUCGCAAGACCUGGCACUUGAAGAGGGGCCCGCGUCUGAUUAGCUAGUUGGUGGGGUAACGGCUCACCAAGGCAACGAUCAGUA
rnacentral:rRNA from 1 species